rnacentral:rRNA from 1 species
GACGAACGCUGGCGGCGUGCCUAAUACAUGCAAGUAGAACGCAGUUGCGAACGGGUGAGUAACGCGUAGGUAACUGCCUCAUAGCGGGGGAUAACUAUUGGAAACGAUAGCUAAUACCGCAUACUGUGAGAUGGACCUGCGUUGUAUUAGCUAGUUGGUGAGGUAAUGGCUCAACGAGGCGACGACACAUAGCCGACCUGAGAGGGUGAUGGGCCACACUGGGACGGUGACACGGCCCAGACUCCUAGGGGAGGCAGCAGGAGGGAAUCGGCGGCAAUGGACGGAAGUUUGACCGAGCUACGCCGCGUGAGUGAAGAAGGUUGGCGGAUCGGAAAGCUCGGUUGUGAGGUAAGCGGUACCUAACCAGAAAGCGACGGCUAACUACGUGCCAGCCGCCGCGGUAAUUC